ACAGGGCUAGUUCCAUUCUGAUAGACUCUGUGGGUUCCACAACUAUCUUGCCUGCAGCUCUGCAUUUAGGGACACCCAAAUUGGAAGAGGACUUACUGGUCCUUUCAAGGGGGAGACGGAGGCUUUCAAGGAUGCUGUGCUAAGAAGGGUCCCAGCAUUCAGCCUGAGCCCCAGGUUCUGCUCAGAAACACCAACCCACAGCUUUUGCAGGCCUGCAGAGACCAAGACACCUCACCACGCCCUCAAAGAGCCAGAGGAAUGUUGGACACUGUGAAACCGUAGAGGCGAGUCACCCCUGGGAACACAUAGGCCAGGAUACGCCGGUCAAGCUGGAACGCGAUCUCCCCAACGAUUCGGCCAUCCUUCUCAGCACCCGAAAAACUCUGGAUCUCUGGAUGCUGUUCUGCCACCCCACCAACUCAGCCUUCUCUGAGGACAGCAGGAGACAUCACAGCCUGGAUCUGGAAAGAGCCAGCCUCUUCCAGUCUACAGCAUUGCCACCAAAGACAGGCCAAUGUCUGAAAGGUCAGUAUCAGCCCUAUCUCGCCCAUGUCUGUGGAGAGGAUAGAUGGGCUGACAGAAGAGUCUCUUUUUAUUCUUCUUCUUCGACUUCUCGGGACUACCCUGCACCCCCCUGAAAACUGCUCCCAAAUAACUCCUCUCUAUACAACA
rnacentral:lncRNA from 1 species